UACGGAGGGUGCUAGCGUUGUUCGGAAUUACUGGGCGUAAAGGGCGCGUAGGCGGCCGUUUGCGUCGGAUGUGAAAGCCCGGGGCUCAACCUCGGAACGGCAUUCGCUACGGGACGGCUGGAGACCGGGAGAGGAGAGUGGAAUAGCCAGUGUAGAGGUGAAAUUCGUAGAUAUUGGCUGGAACACCGGUGGCGAAAGCGGCUCUCUGGCCCGGUUCUGACGCUGAGGCGCGAAAGCGUGGGGAGCAAACAGG
rnacentral:rRNA from 1 species